rnacentral:rRNA from 1 species
AGAGUUUGAUCCUGGCUCAGAUUGAACGCUGGCGGCGUGCCUAACACAUGCAAGUCGAACGUGAAAGUCCUUUCGGGGGCGAGUAAAGUGGCGCACGGGUGAGUAACGCGUGGAUAAUCUGCCUUUAAGUUUGGGAUAACGGUUGGAAACGAUCGCUAAUACUGGAUACGUUGCUCUAUUUGUUUAGGGUGAGAAAGAUGGCCUCUGCUUGCAAGCUGUCGCUUAGAGAUGAGUCCGCGUUCCAUUAGCUAGUUGGUAGGGUAAUGGCCUACCAAGGCAACGAUGGAUAGCCGGUCUGAGAGGAUGACCGGCCACACUGGAACUGAAACACGGUCCAGACUCCUACGGGAGGCAGCAGUGGGGAAUAUUGCGCAAUGGGCGAAAGCCUGACGCAGCGACGCCGCGUGAGGGAUGAAGGUUUUCGGAUCGUAAACCUCUGUCAGAAGGGAAGAAGUUAUAUUGUGCUAAUCAGCAGUAUAUUGACGGUACCUUCAAAGGAAGCACCGGCUAACUUCCGUGCCACAGCCCGCGGUAAUACGGAGGGUGCAAGCCGUUAAUCGGAAUAAACUGGGCCGUAAAGCGCACGUAGGCUUGUUUUUGUAAGUCAAGAGGUGAAAUCCCACGGCUCAACCCGUGGAACUGGCCUU